rnacentral:rRNA from 1 species
GAGGGGUAUAGUUCUUCGGAGCUAGAGACCGGCGCACGGGCCCUAUAACGCGUAUGCAAUCUACCUUUUACAGAGGGAUAGCCCAGAGAAAUUUGGAUUAAUACCUCAUAGCAUAGCAGUAUCGCAUGAUACCACUAUUAAAGUUCCAACGGUAAAAGAUGAGCAUGCGUCCCAUUAGCUAGAUGGUAAGGUAACGGCUUACCAUGGCUACGAUGGGUAGGGGUCCUGAGAGGGAGAUCCCCCACACUGGUACUGAGACACGGACCAGACUCCUACGGGAGGCAGCAGUGAGGAAUAUUGGUCAAUGGGCGCAAGCCUGAACCAGCCAUGCCGCGUGCAGGAAGACGGUCCUAUGGAUUGUAAACUGCUUUUGCACAGGAAGAAACACUCCCUCGUGAGGGAGCUUGACGGUACUGUGAGAAUAAGGAUCGGCUAACUCCGUGCCAGCAGCCGCGGUAAUACGGAGGAUCCAAGCGUUAUCCGGAAUCAUUGGGUUUAAAGGGUCCGUAGGCGGUUUAGUAAGUCAGUGGUGAAAGCCCAUCGCUCAACGGUGGAACGGCCAUUGAUACUGCUAGACUUGAAUUAUAAGGAAGUAACUAGAAUAUGUAGUGUAGCGGUGAAAUGCUUAGAGAUUACAUGGAAUACCAAUUGCGAAGGCAGGUUACUACUUAUGGAUUGACGCUGAUGGACGAAAGCGUGGGUAGCGAACAGGAUUAGAUACCCUGGUAGUCCACGCCGUAAACGAUGGAUACUAGCUGUUGGGGGCAACUUCAGUGGCUAAGCGAAAGUGAUAAGUAUCCCACCUGGGGAGUACGUUCGCAAGAAUGAAACUCAAAGGAAUUGACGGGGGCCCGCACAAGCGGUGGAGCAUGUGGUUUAAUUCGAUGAUACGCGAGGAACCUUACUCAGGCUUAAAUGUAGUUUGACCGAACUGGAAACAGUUUUUUCGCAAGACAAAUUACAAGGUGCUGCAU